rnacentral:rRNA from 1 species
GUCUACGGCCAUGCCACCCUGAACGUGCCUGAUCUUGUCUGAUCUCGGAAGCUAAGCAAGGUCAGGCCUGGUUAGUACUUGGUUGAGAGAUCACCUAGGAAGACCAGGUGCUGUAGGUG